UUUCCACCGGAGCUUGCUCCACCGGAAAAAGAAGAGUGGCGAACGGGUGAGUAACACGUGGGUAACCUGCCCAUCAGAAGGGGAUAACACUUGGAAACAGGUGCUAAUACCGUAUAACAAUCAAAACCGCAUGGUUUUGAUUUGAAAGGCGCUUUCGGGUGUCGCUGAUGGAUGGACCCGCGGUGCAUUAGCUAGUUGGUGAGGUAACGGCUCACCAAGGCCACGAUGCAUAGCCGACCUGAGAGGGUGAUCGGCCACAUUGGGACUGAGACACGGCCCAAACUCCUACGGGAGGCAGCAGUAGGGAAUCUUCGGCAAUGGACGAAAGUCUGACCGAGCAACGCCGCGUGAGUGAAGAAGGUUUUCGGAUCGUAAAACUCUGUUGUUAGAGAAGAACAAGGAUGAGAGUAACUGUUCAUCCCUUGACGGUAUCUAACCAGAAAGCCACGGCUAACUACGUGCCAGCAGCCGCGGUAAUACGUAGGUGGCAAGCGUUGUCCGGAUUUAUUGGGCGUAAAGCGAGCGCAGGCGGUUUCUUAAGUCUGAUGUGAAAGCCCCCGGCUCAACCGGGGAGGGUCAUUGGAAACUGGGAGACUUGAGUGCAGAAGAGGAGAGUGGAAUUCCAUGUGUAGCGGUGAAAUGCGUAGAUAUAUGGAGGAACACCAGUGGCGAAGGCGGCUCUCUGGUCUGUAACUGACGCUGAG
rnacentral:rRNA from 1 species